rnacentral:rRNA from 1 species
AGAGUUUGAUCAUGGCUCAGGACGAACGCUGACGGCGUGCUUUAGACAUGCAAGUCGAAUGAGAAAGCCCUUCGGGGUGAGUACAGUGGCGAACGGGUGAGUAACACGUGGGCAAUCUGCCCCUCGCAGGGGGACAACCGGGGGAAACCCCGGCUAAUACCCCGUACGCUUGUUGAGUCGCAUGGCUCUUCAAGGAAAGGUAGCUUCGGCCAUCUGGCGAGGGAUGAGCCCGCGGUGCAUUAGCUAGUUGGUGAGGUAACGGCUCACCAAGGCGACGAUGCAUAGCUGGUCUGAGAGGAUGAUCAGCCACACUGGGACUGAGACACGGCCCAGACUCCUACGGGAGGCAGCAGUCGGGAAUCUUGCGCAAUGGGCGAAAGCCUGACGCAGCAACACCGUGUGAGCGACGAAGGCCUUCGGGUCGUAAAGCCCUGUUGUUGGGGACGAAGGGCGAAGGGUUAAUAGCCCCUAGCUUGACGGUACCCUUCGAGGAAGCCCCGGCUAACUACGUGCCAGCAGCCGCGGUAAUACGUAGGGGGCGAGCGUUGUCCGGAAUUAUUGGGCGUAAAGAGCGUGUAGGCGGCUUGGUAAGUCUGCCGUGAAAACCCGGGGCUCAACCCUGGGCGUGCGGUGGAUACUGCCAGGCUAGAGGGUGGUAGAGGCGAGUGGAAUUCCCGGUGUAGCGGUGAAAUGCGCAGAUAUCGGGAGGAACACCAGUAGCGAAGGCGGCUCGCUGGGCCAUUCCUGACGCUGAGACGCGAAAGCUAGGGGAGCGAACAGGAUUAGAUACCCCCGUAGUCC